rnacentral:rRNA from 1 species
AUUGAACGCUGGCGGCAUGCCUAACACAUGCAAGUCGAACGGCAGCACAGCAGUAGCAAUACUGUGGGUGGCGAGUGGCGGACGGGUGAGGAAUACGUCGGAAUCUGCCCAGUCGUGGGGAUAACUAGCCGAAAGGUUAGCUAAAUACCGCAUACGACCGAGAGGUGAAAGCGGGGACCGCAAGGGCCUCGCGCGAUUGGAUGAGCCGACGUCGGAUUAGCUAGUUGCGGGUAAGGCCCACCAAGGCGACGAUCCGUAGCUGGUCUGAGAGGAUGAUCAGCCACACUGGAACUGAGACACGGUCCAGACUCCUAUGGGAGGCAGCAGUGGGGAAUAUUGGACAAUGGGCGCAAGCCUGAUCCAGCAAUGCCGCGUGUGUGAAGAAGGCCUUCGGGUUG